GUGUUGCAUGGCUGUCGUCAGCUCGUGUCGUGAGAUGUUGGGUUAAGUCCCGCAACGAGCGCAACCCUCAUCCUUAGUUGCUAUCAGGUAAUGCUGAGUACUUUAAGGAAACUGCCAGUGAUAAGCUGGAGGAAGGUGGGGAUGAUGUCAAGUCAUCAUGGCCUUUAUGGAGUGGGCUACACACGUGCUACAAUGGUGUCUACAAUGGGCUGCAAGGUGCGCAAGCCUAAGCUAAUCCCUAAAAGACAUCUCAGUUCGGAUUGUACUCUGCAACUCGAGUACAUGAAGUUGGAAUCGCUAGUAAUCGUGGAUCAGCAUGCCACGGUGAAUACGUUCUCGGGUCUUGUACACACUGCCCGUCACGCCAUGGGAAUUGGUUU
rnacentral:rRNA from 2 species